GACGAACGCUGGCGGCGUGCCUAAUACAUGCAAGUCGAACGAACCGCGACUGAGUGCUUGCACUUGGUCAAGGUGAGUGGCGAACGGGUGAGUAACACGUGGGUAACCUACCUCAUAGUGGGGGAUAACAGUCGGAAACGACUGCUAAUACCGCAUAGGACAUAGGAUCACAUGAUCCAGUGAGGAAAGGUGGCGCAAGCUAUCGCUAAGAGAUGGACCCGCGGUGCAUUAGCUAGUUGGUAGGGUAAAGGCCUACCAAGGCGAUGAUGCAUAGCCGACCUGAGAGGGUGAUCGGCCACAUUGGGACUGAGACACGGCCCAAACUCCUACGGGAGGCAGCAGUAGGGAAUCUUCCGCAAUGGACGCAAGUCUGACGGAGCAACGCCGCGUGAGUGAAGAAGGUCUUCGGAUCGUAAAGCUCUGUUGUUAGAGAAGAACAGCGCAUAGGGUAACUGCUAUGCGUGUGACGGUAUCUAACCAGAAAGCCACGGCUAACUACGUG
rnacentral:rRNA from 1 species